UUUAUGUGUAGCCAUGGUUUUCCACGUCUAACUUUAACCGUCCGUCUUGUUUGAAAUUUGUUUUAAAAAAAUAAAAAAAUAAAUCACGAGUAAAGUACUAUUCAUGUUUUAUCAUCUCAUAACAACAAAAAUAUUAAUUAUAAAAAAUUUCAAAUAAGACGGACGAUCAAAGUUGAAUGCGGAAACUUAUGGUUUCACUUGAA
rnacentral:pre_miRNA from 1 species